ACGUAGGGUGCAAGCGUUAAUCGGAAUUACUGGGCGUAAAGCGUGCGCAGGCGGUUUUGUAAGACAGUCGUGAAAUCCCCGGGCUCAACCUGGGAAUGGCGAUUGUGACUGCAAAGCUGGAGUGCGGCAGAGGGGGAUGGAAUUCCGCGUGUAGCAGUGAAAUGCGUAGAUAUGCGGAGGAACACCGAUGGCGAAGGCAAUCCCCUGGGCCUGCACUGACGCUCAUGCACGAAAGCGUGGGGAGCAAACAGGAUUAGAUACCCUGGUAGUCCACGCCCUAAACGAUGUCAACUGGUUGUUGGGUCUCUUCUGACUCAGUAACGAAGCUAACGCGUGAAGUUGACCGCCUGGGGAGUACGGCCGCAAGGUUG
rnacentral:rRNA from 1 species